ensembl:lncRNA
CCCACACUCAAGAGUUGGGAACCACACAAGGCUGUGGCUACAGGAGUCAUGGCUGUCACACACCUUCACCCACCCUCCCAAGGGCAAGCUCCAGGACAGCAGGAACCUCACCUGCCUUGUCCUCCUCCCCACCCCGGUGCCUGACACAUGGCGGAUGUUCAGUAUAUGUUUUUAGAUGGAUGAACGAGUGACAACUAUAAUAACUGCUCUGCUGACCUCAUGUGGUGGUGAGGAUCCCCCAUUGUGCCUGCCUCAGGAGAGUGAAUAAGAUAACCGUUGAGGGAAGCCAGAUGGAUGUGAAGGAUUAUGAUAACAACCCAACGCCAGGGGGCGGAGGAGUCAAAUGGUGACCAGGGUGAGCAGAGAGGCUGCAGAGAAAGGUACUGCGUUAAAAACAGGAGAUCAAGCAAACGUGAGGAGUCUUGAGCCAGACACUCACUAGGCAGCUGACAGUUUAGCUCGUUUCCAUUUCCUCUUCCUCCUUUAGGACCAGCUCGCUACUCCUUUCCACGGAAUCUGAGGAGCUGAGAUUCCUGGCCACGGAGAGUUGUCGCUUCCUGGGCUCACUCAGAGGUGAGGUGACGUUCCACGCUCGCUGUCAGUUUUGAAACAGGCAGUGUCACUGUGCUGCGGGUGUGACUUGGCCCGUCACAGCCCUCCUGCGUUAGGAAACAUGGUUUCUGAGCCAUCACUGUCGGGCUGCCUGAUGGCGAGGUGCCCAUCUGAGCGUGUCCCCUGUUGACAGCGCUUGACAAGCAUCGUGCCGGUCUUGCUUUUAGAUGCUGCACAGCAGGAGCUCUGGUCUGCAUAACGCGGCACGAUGAAGCGGAAAGAGUAUGGACAAGGGGGCAGAAAGCUGGGCUCUGCCACCCGCCAGCUAGGGGACCUUGAGCAAGUCGGCUUGCCCUUGCCGGUACGUAAACCAUCUCGUUGGGACAGUGCAACAAGAUGGUGCCUGGGAAAACGCUUUGUAAACUGAAGUCCUAGACCAAAUGAACAUCACGCCCCAGAUGUGACCUGAGCGAGCCCAAAACCUACAGGGAGGCUCCAAUGCAUCGAUCUCGACCCAGCUUCUACUUAGGAAAUGCGGUCCCAUCUUAGCAUCUCUGUCACAAUCUUAUUUCACAUUAGCUUGUGGCCCACUAAGACCCAUCCCCUACUGGCUUUUUUGAAUAUGGACUGUACCCUUUCAAGUAUCAUCCACUGUUUGUUUGGGCAACCGGUUUUUUGAAACUAGAGGUAGACUUUGUGUUAUUUUGCACUAGGUAAAUUCAAUCUCAUUGCUCUGGCCCAUCUACAUAGGCUGUUAAAAUGUUCCCAGGGGCCGGCCUGGUGGCGCAGCGGUUAAGUGCGCACAUUCCCCUUUGGCGGCCCGGGAUCCGCCGGUUUGGAUCCCGGGCGCGGACAUGGCACAGCUCAUCAAGCCAUGCUGUGGCAGGUGUCCCACAUAUAAAGCAGGGGAAGAUGGGCACAGAUGUUAGCUCAGGGCUAGUCUUCCUCAGCAAAAAAGGAGGAUUGGCAGAUGUUAGCUCAGGACUGAUCUUCCUUAAAAAAAAAAAGCUUCCAGCCCUACCUUGGUCAUUGCGUAUGUUCUCCCUGCGCUGACCGGAUGACAGGCACACAUUUCAACAGUGUGCAAUUCAUGCAUCCAUUCAUUCACUAUGCAGUUACUGAGUACCUACUAUUCCCUAGGGACUAUGUUAGGAGCCAGGAGACAGAGGGCAUACCUGAGAGAGGGUGGCGAGUGCUGUAGAAGAGGCAUGCUGGCUGCCAUGGGCUCAGGGAGCAGGUGUCUGAUUGCUGUCAGCAGCAGUGGGAAGGUGUCCAAGUCAAGAGACGUGGCAGAGGCCAAAAGGCCUUCUCCCCUUCUUUCCUAGCACACCACUGGACUAUACUUUCCAGCUCCGAUGAUUCUCGGUGCUUCCGCAUCGCGACCUGGGCCGAUGAAGUGGUGAAGUCCAUUCUGAUGGGCCUCUCCUGGCUUCCUCUGCCUUCCCAGCAAAGAAAC